GCCUCGGCGCUGCGGCCCCGGGGAAGCGAGGCCAGGCCGCCUUCCCCCAGCAGCCCUGACAGCAGGCUCUGUCACUGGCGCACACCUCUUGCUGCGGCAGCCGAACGCCGGAGCCCGGCCGGGUGUGCCGCGCCGACCGGGCCUCCCGCCUUCAAAGGGGAGGGAGUCGCGCCUGCAGGCCUGCCGUCCGCCCCAGGCCCCUGCUCGCUGGGCCCCCCCUCCGCCCCAGGCUUCUGCUCGCCUGCCUUCCGCCCCAGGCCCCUGCUCGCUGGGCCCACCCUCCGCCCCAGGCUCCUGCUUGCCUGCCCUCCGUCCCAGGCCCCAGGCCCCUGCUCGCCCAGAGAACUGGGCCUGCCCUCCGCCCCAGGCCCCUGCUCGCCCAGGGAACUGGGCCUGCCCUGGCAGCAGGCUUCACCAUGCCACAAGCCCUGUCAGGGUUUGAGGUGAGGAAGGACACUGAGAUUGACCUGAUCUCCUGUUGUGCCUCCCCAAGUAACUGUGAGCUUUGGCCCCGAUGGAUCUGCUCAGUCUUGUCACAGGAGCUACAUGAAGGUCCGCAUCUUAAUCAUCGUUACAAAGCUGCCACAGAGAUCACUGUAAAAAGGGCCAAAACAAGAGGAAAAAGAGGUGAAGCAAUGGUGCUUUCAUUGAUAUCAGUGACUGGGUCUUAUCCAGGGACCUGUGAGCUCUCUGCUUAGCUCUGCUGCUGAGGCAUGCAUACAUCACUGGGAAGUGAUUUCAAGUGAGCUUUCAUCCUUAGCUGAGGAGGUGAAGCUGGAACCACUCCUUUGGCACAGAAAAACAUCACAACAGCUGUCUGCCAGGAGACGAGAUAAACAUUCUGGGGGAGAGCAGCUACUCCGAUGCACGUGGACUUCAUCAAACAGUCUGGGCUGUCCCUAUUGUUUGUGAGCACUGGAUGAGAACAAAGACAGAUUGGGCUAGAAAGGGCCCCACACAGAGAUAUUCAGAGCACAUACAGAAUAGGACACUAACGGCUACACUGGUUCACCAUUUUUUGAUAUAAUCAAAGGAGUCUACUAGCUUGGAAAUAUUACAUAUACACACCUGAGGCCCAAGGGAAUUACUGUGACUGUUUCUUUUUGUGAUUGCACUUACCAAGAGAGGGAACUGGGGAUUACAAUUGUCACUUCACAGACAGGAGUGCAAGGGGAAAAAAAAAUAAUCUUUGUAGCAUUAUCAGUCUUUUUCAUUCGCUGUUCCUAGAGCUCUGGGUGGGGUUUCCCAGCUUGUUUCCUUGAAGGUUUUGGUGCUGAUUCAAUAUUGCUAUCAGUCUUUUAACUGUACCACCCCCUGCUCAGGAGGCAGGAUUUUGUGUGCCAGAGGUAAGCCUAUUUAAAGGGAAAGAGUCAGUCCCACUCUAGACUUACUACUCUCUUUUGUACAUAGAUACAUACCCAAAGACAUUUAUCAAAGAUGCUCAAUUCAGAGGGAGCAGAGAGCAAAAGGCAAGCAAAGCCUGGGGGAAGAAACAAGUGGCACGCACACAUAAAAGGGAGAGACCAGACGUGCAAGGGAACAGGGCGUGGAAGCCUACCCAAGAAAUACCUUCAUCCAUACCACUGAAAAGGGGGGCAGCGGGGCAAGGCUUGUUUUGUGAUCUUGACAACCUAAUAAUACUUGGUUGUAGUCAAAAACUCCUGUAAAGGCAAGGUGCAUGUAAAACCAGGAGGAGAGCUCAGCAGGUGUGUGUCCAUGUUUAAAACCAGUCAUCAGGAUAAAGAAGCCUUGAGAAGGCAGCCUUCAAACCCAGUUUUCUGUCCAGCAGCCUGGCACAUGGGUGGCACCCCCUUCCUUAAGGCACAGUGUGUUUCAACAAGUGAAACUUGUGAGAGAAGCCCACAUCUGAUGAAACAGAAAAUGCCAAGCACCCUUUCUGCAAACGCUUUAGAGGUCUGCGAGAAGGCUGUCAACUCUGAGAUAAGCUGUACAGCUGAGUAAACAAUUAUGUAUUUGCCUUGGGGACAAACUAGGAGAGAUGAUACAUUGUUUAUUCCAGGGCAUUACUGACACCACCACAGAUGUGAGAAAGCAUUUCUUUCCUUCUUGGGUACAGCAGUAACAAAAAGCUGGAUGCUAUUUGCAGUUCUUACCUUGUAAUGUGAAGUGAUGAGACUGUACUUACACAGUAUCAUGCGCGUAAAGAUUUUAAAGUACUUUGCUGAGCUAAGUAGUGUAAUCCUUGCUGCAUAGAUACUAAUUAGGAGUACAGGAGAGGCAAAACAAACUAGCUGGAGCACCUUGCCCUGUGCAAAGUCUUGAAUUGUUGUGCUGUUCAGGCUCCAGUUUGACUGAGAGCCCAAGGGAGGGGUGCUUGAGGGCUUUCAUGUGGUCACUUGCUGAUCCGACAAAUAAUAUAAUUAUUCAGCACAUGUGAUUGGCCUUACACAGGACAGGCUGCCAGUUAGGCUAGCAAGGAACUUGCUGAUAAAGGUAGCCCGAGUCAUUCAUAAGCCAGUGAAAUGGGUGGAAGCAAGAAGAGUAAGGAGCUACAGUGUUAAACUCAGGUGCGCCCACAAAACUGUAGAACAGCAUGCAUGUAAGCAACCCACAACAUGCCUGAUUCAGUUUUAUUAUUUCACUGGGACUACACAUACAGAUUGCUCACAUUUGGCAGAGAUGAGCAAGCUUUCUUCCUAGACUUGCAGGACAUGAUGCAAGGGGGAGUUGGCCUUCACAGAUGAUUAUGCAUCAACAAGCACAUCACAGGCAGACAACAGGGCAUCAACGGUACCUCAGCAGGGAGCUGAGCUACAGCAGUGGCAACUUGGUAUGGGACCUGUACACCCUACAGAGCGUGGGGCUGAAGGCACAGCAGGCUAGGUUCUGAAAGAGGAGGGCUUUAACGGAAGAGUUGGACACUCUUUCUGAGGGGGCACAAAGCAGGAACAAAGCAAACAAAACCCAGUAAUUUGCCAAUAAAGCAUGGAAGAGUAUUCCAUCAUUACUGCUGUUGCAUCAUUAUUAGUCAAGCUUCUAGGCAUCUGUUAAUGUGACAGCUAAUUAUUAUUAUUAUUACAGUGUUUAGACAGAUUUUUAAAAGGCAUCAUGUAGGUGCCUCACUCCCAUUCAUUUCAGAGCAACUUAGGCAACAGGGACUUAGCUCAUAGUCCAGCCUCAGCCUGGAAUGUGGGAGGCUAGAUGAAGCAAUCAUCCCUUCGUGAAUAUCUAACCAGCAAAAAGCAAACAUACUUUUACAGGUGCCCUGUUAAAAUCUAGACUGGUUUGAAAAGACUCAUUAGACUGAACUAACCAAUCUAAUGCUAUAUCUUAGCCCUUGAAAACCACACCGUGAAAACCAGUCUCAACCUUAUGCUAAGCUGUGAACAGGAAUGACCAUAGUAUACCUGAAAAGGUGUGUUGUGCUUCUUCCUGUUGUGUUCAGAUACAUUAAUCAUAUAGCGACAAAGAGAAGGUAGCAGUAAGAAGAAGAUACCAGCACGGCCAGAUGAGGGUUAAAUAGGCAACAUUAAUGAAGAAAUACUGCUGUAAGGUCUGCAAACCUGGGAAAGCAUCAGCAGGAGAGCUGUGUGUUGGGCUCUGUCAGAUGUCACCUUUGCAGGCACAAUGCUGUUGAAAAGCUGCUCUGUCACGGGCAGUAUGGUCUUGGGUAGGCUAUCAAGAUAGCUUCUUUGUGGGCCAGUUAGUGAGGUUAAUGUUGCAGGUCUGGAAGGAGGAGCACUGAGAACAUGUGGUCACUGCACGUCCAAGCAUACCCUGCGGUUUAGUAGAGCUUAGGACACCAACAGGCUCCAAAUUCACCCUGUGCAGAGAGAUGGCAGGAAUGCCCAGCCCAUGCUUACUUACACAAACCAGCCACCCCUGCAUCCACUAACUCAACAGCAUUCAAAAAGCAAACCCCAGAGAGAUGAGUAGAUAGAUACGAAGAAACCUGUAGCAGACAACAGAAGGGAUCCAUAUAAACCUGUUCCUCAAAUAAAAAGGAGGAGCUGUAAGCUACAACUAGGUACAUUCCUCAUGGGACUCAUUUUUUGCAAAUAUGCAUAGACAGCUCUGCAUGAGUGAAGAUGGAAUGCCACAGGUGGCUGGAUAUCUCGGCGAAGGGUGCCACAUGGAACUGGCUUCUUUCAAAAACUUAAAUAAGGGCAGGUUUAACUCCAGAAUAUUUGCCAGGGAACAGCAAUGGCCUGCUGUUGCCAAAUGGCGGGUAAGCCAGGAGCCAAAGGCAAUCCCAACACAAGCACCGAUGGAGCACAGUCCCACAAGACCUAAACACAGCAAGCAGGGACAGACGCUGGUAGCAGGGUCCACCAACAGCCCCAGACACAGCAUGUGACAAACCAGGUCCAGACUCCAUGCAGGAGCAAGAAGACCAGAGACAAACUGUAACAUGCACCUGAGAGACCCAUCCAGGAGAAAAACUACGUGCAGCAGAGGUCCACAGUCCAUCCCAAAGCCUGAAUCACUUUGAGCGGGGAAUGAUUCUCAGCCCAAGCUUGUGAUUGACAUUGUCUGCAGUCAGCAUCCAUGCCGGUGGCCCCCAUCAUGAUCCCAGAAGUGGAACUAAACCACCUGGAAAAUUUGAGCCAAAAGGCCUUGUGCGGACAGCCCUCCAGGGAGACAGCACUUUUUAAUUAACUGGCAGAAAAUAUCGGUAGGGAAUGAUUGCCAGUUCCAUGUGAGGGGAGCAAUCCCAGCUGCACGCUAUAAUUUCUGUUACCUGUACAGUGGAAAAAUCUCACACUAUUAGCCCCUUUUUUCCUCUCAGAGGAGCUAAAAAUAUGCUUUUUGAAAAACACAGGGUGAUACUGGUUUGGAAUGGGAAAGGGAAGAAGCAAAGAAAUCUGGGACCUAUAUGGAGGGCACACUGACAAAUUUGCAGUGUUUUCAGUGACAGCAGUUUGCAGGGAAUAUUAGGUUCUGAAAAUCAUCAUCAUCUGUCCCAUAAGUAAUUAUUAGAAUGGAUUAGUCACUACUGGCUUUGGCUGGGCUUUUCAUUUGAUUUCCAAUAAGAGGCUGCAAUCUCCAGUCCUGUCAAACCUGCUUGUGGCACACUGGCCAAAAAAACCUCUGUGAGGACAACAUGGUGCUUGUCUUCUAGGCAAGAGGGUAGUAGAAUGCCGAGUGGCAUUUUGGGGGUACAAAAAGAGAGCUGUCUGUUCUUGGACUGUUUGUUUUGUUUGGGUUUUCUGUGCAGUGAGAGGCUCCUGGGAUCUGGAUAAAAUGUGAAAACGUGAGUUCUUAGAAAAAUUCCUGAAACAUAUCCAGCUUGUUGGGUUACAGGAUCCUGAUACCAAACCCAGGUGGCUUGCAUUGGGCCGGUGAGAUGGAUCCUACAUGACCAGCCAGACCUUGCUGCUGUAGAGCAGGACUGGUGCUUGCCUGCCACAAAAACAUGGGGCUGCCAGCUUGAUCCAGUUCAAGAGCUACACCAAGGCCCUCUGAGCCAUCUCGUCAGCUGGGCAGCCUAGGGAGCCGGGCUUAGUAACCUUGUCAGUUGUACUAAUGGAAAUCUUCCCAACUCAAGACUCACCCUCCAGAGAGAGAAAAUAAAUAUUGGCUUGAAGAAACAGGGUCAGCAGCAAUCUCAGACCUUGGAGUCUGAGAGUGAUCAUAAAUCUUGGGAAACCCUGAAAGAAGUCUUGCACUCAUGAAUUUGGUGGCUCUCAUUCACACUUUCAGCAGAUGUUUAUCCAAAUGCUAUCAACUGCUGGCUGCAAAUGGAUUAAAGAGCACAGGAGUCACUGAGGUAUCUCUUACCUAGAGCUCGGUUUUAACCAUUUCAAAGUGUAAUUGCAGUUUGCACCAUGCAGUAAACUGCUCUUAGUUACUCAGUUACUUUUUCAUGCUUCCACUUUUCUGAAGGAUGAUCUGCAGAUCCUCCACAUACAAUGAAAUAUACUGGCACAUUUAAUCAGUGUGAAUUGAUUCCCUGAAGAAUUGCUGGGAAACAGGAUUUAGAAACAAGAGCUGAGCAUGCUGCAGUUGCCGAUCACAUGCUGGGAUAUUUUCUUUCAGACUGGGCUCCAACAGUAGCUUGUAUUUGCAGGCAUGGAAAUGAAAACAACACAGAUUGGGAGUAAACAGCAUUCAAUAAUCAUACUGAGAUCUAGGAUCCUUUAUUUCAGAGAGGGAAGCAAAAGGAAUUAAAAAAUAAGAGAAUGAGAUAAGGGCAGAUCACAUCAGAGGCUAUGGGGUGAGCCACAGUUCUUGUUGGCAUCCCAGCAAAGAGAAGUUUAAAGGCAGGAUUUGAAGGAGGAUAAUUUGCAGAUGUUUACAGGGAAGAUGAAACGACGGUGGCUGUAAGAAGGCUGGUUGCCACAUCCCACCAUCAAGUGACUUAUGAUGAAUAGCAUAGUCCAGGGUUAUGCCAGGGUUUGCAUUGCUUCCACAUGCACACAGAAGAGAAAUAAUGAACCAAGUUGCCUUAUCCCUUCAGCUGGUCACAGGACUGCUCCUGUCUGUUCUGAUGAGGAUGAGCCAUCACAGCUUCACACUGGUUCCUCUGCCUCCGCUCAGCCCACUGAAACUGGCUCUGCCCAAGACUGGAAGGCAGCUCUGCUGGGGACAGGGAGAACUGGGAGACCCCAGGCCAAGUGCAUGUAUUAGUUGCUGCAGGGACCUGGCAGCCAGAAUACUGCUUCCAGGGAGCCAGGGAAGCACCUGUUUUGAAGGACCCUCUUAAAACCUGCAUUCCUUGGUGUGGCACAAAUUGUGCAGCAAUCUGUAACUCUUAGGCCUGAGCCUAGUUUUUUUGAAAGGGAGGCCCAUCAACCUGCUCCAAAAUGUGCUCCCUGCCUAACUUGGCUGCCUCUCUCUUCCAGUGUCUGCCACCUACGGAUAGACUCCUCUCCCUUUUCCUCUCUUACUGAAUCCACUUCACCUUAUAAGCUGCUGUGAACCUGGGACAUUUCUCUCCCUACACCCCUUGUCUUACUGACCAGCCUGCUGCUCUGCUCUAAAGGCCAGAUGCUAUUGGUGAAUUUGCAUGGUUUAGGGGCUGGUAGGAGCUAAUGCCCAUAGGGAAGCCCAGGCUACUUCAGGUCAAUGAGAUAUUAGAUUCCUCUCUUUAUGACAUUUUGUGGCUGAUUUUGCUGGAGAAAUUGUUGCAGGAAUAUAUACAACCAGUUCUGCAGAGUCCUGCCACUAUAUUGCUCAUGAAGCAAAACCAGUAUCAUGGUUGUGGAAAAUCAGAAACAAUUGGACAAGAUAAUGCAGGUGCAAGGUGGCUGACUGGUUACUUAAAAGCCAUAAUUUUCCAUGUCUCGAUGCUGUACUGGUCCCAGAUACAUUACUCACUAUCUCUUUCAUGAAACUGCUCAUGGGAGUUGUUCUCAUUCAGAAAUCUGGUAUCGUGUUUGAGCUCUUGGGCAGCUUGUAGCUCUGUUCUCUGGUGCCUGUGGCUGGCAUCUAAGCAGUUCCAGUUUUCUCCAGCAGAGAGGUCACUGGCUGGUUCACUGACACCUUUUACCUGGGAGAAACCUGCAUUUUGAUCCCAUGUUUAUAAUGUCACCACGUGAUUCUAUUGGGAAAAGCACAGAGCACUUGAAUGGAAGAGACUAAGAUGAUGCAAGUUUGUAAAGGCCUUCCAUUUAAAUAUUAAAGAUGUUAGUGUUCAGAGUUUCUUCUUUCCGAAAAAUUGUAUUUUCCUGCUUGUGAUAUUAACCAUUAAGGCUGUUGAGUUUACUGCACUUUGAUAGGUCCCAUCCCAGUAUGGACUAGGCCCUGUCCCAUUACAAACUGGAUCUCCUCAGUCCUGUCCCAGUACAAACUGGCAGCUGUAGCCCAAAGCCCCCAAGCCUGAGGAUGGCAGGGAGUGUGCUAAUCUUUGCUUUGGUGUUAGCCAGUCCUGCUAGGACUCUCCUCCGAGAAAGCUGGACUCGGUGAUUCUUAUGGGUCCCUUCCAACUCAAGAUCUUCUGUGAUUCUGUCAUAUUGUGAUGAUUUUUUAUUGCAUAAUUAAUUAUUAUAUUACAUACAUUAUCAAUAUUUAUUAUUGCAAAAAAACUGUGGUGCUUGUUACGUGUGUGCAGUGCUUGGCUACAACAUAAUGCACAGUUAUAUUCCAGCUAUGACUGAGUUGCUUUAUCUCAGAGGCGAUCCCUCUCUGUGAUGGAGAAGCAGAGUGGCUGCGAUCUUCAGGGCUGGAGUCAGGUGAGGAUGGUGGGGAAGGAGGAGAGGAGGAGGUCAACCACAUGAUAAGAUAUGCCCUGGAGCAGAGUUCUGGACAAUGCAACCAGAAUUUGUGGAGAAGAGCAGUUCAGUUGCCAUAGCCAGGAGUGGCAGGUAUGGCAAUAAUUCAUAGGGCUUUCAUGGUUUUGAAGCCAAAAGAGACCUGAGGCUGUAGCAAGCAUGGCUGUCUGCAUUUGCUAUUCUGAACCAAGAAGGACAGUUUAGCCUGGUUUUCUAAGGAAACGAAGCUUAUACUCUCAUGCUGUUUGUCCAUCUGUUUCCCCUUUGGUUGUUCCCCAGCAAAUCUGGAACCCACUGGCCAAGGUCAGCCACAUUUGAUGCUGGGACAGAUUGUGGGUACUUCCCUCCACAGAGAGCUGGGUGGCCUGAUGCAGGGGAAGGCAGGGAUCACCCAGCUCUUUAAUUGAGAAAGGCAGCAGCUGACUGGACGUGAGCACCUGUCAGCCCACGCUUCGCUCUGGGUCCACCACAGCUUGUGCCCAGCCACGGAGGCUGGGUAAGACCUGGGCUACCAGCGGGUACUAACCGUGCCUGGUGGGGAGAGUUUCCUUCCUAACCAUUGCACUAAUCAACUUAACCCUGCAAGAUGACAUCUGAUAAGCUUGAGCUCUCUAAGAAAAUAUCUUACAGCUAUUUUGUGUUUGGGUGAUUAAAAGCAUCCUGAUCAGAGAUGAUAUAUUAUUAAAACCCUAAUUUUCUCAAGGAUCUGUAUUUUGACUUGUCAGUAUUUUGAAGAAACCCUUUGAGGGACGUCUAUUUGCAAAGCAAUUGCAAUUGCUAUCAUAAACACAUACCCCUAUCAGUUUGUCUGACCUCACACCGUCAGAUAAGCAGGCUUAGCCUUCAGAUGUCUGGAGGGAUUACUUUAUGUCUGUCUGUAGCAGUGACUGGGAUAAAGCGAUCUUUUCUGCAAAUACAGUUUAGCCUUUAGGAAGUUACUGCUUACUCGUGCGUUAACCUCAGAUAGGAGCAGGUGACCAAAGCCAGGCAGACUGCAGCUUGCCUGUGCUAGUGAGCUAUAAAUAAAGAGGAGCCUGCAGCUACGUUGCCUGUGCUGUGCUGCAGGUAAACAUUUGUCCAUCUAAGUUUAGUGAGGGCAGCGUGCACUCAAAACGGUUGACCAUGAAUCCCCACAGCAGAGUGCAAUAAAAAUGUUUUGGUGGCAUCAGCUGCCACAGGGUAUUAAGGACUCCAGGGGAAAAAAAAAAAAAUCAAGUUCAUUUUCUCAAUGACAUCUGGUUGACACAAAAAAUUAGUAUUUGAUACCAGAGACUCAGAUAAUGAAGGGUCAGAAGGCAGCUCAGGGCAUCACCAACCUCCACUUCCUAGGCUGAGGCAGGAACAAGUACUUCAGAUCAUCCUAAACAUAUUUCAAAUAACCUAAAUGGAAAAGAUUCUACAGUCUUCCUAGGCGAACCUAAUAUUUGUGAUACAUUUUCUUUUUAAGGAGUAUUCCAUUCUCACCCUCUGAUUUGCAAUUCUCCCUUAAGUGUGCCCAGCCUCUGACUUUGAUUAAAACUGCCCAGGGUCUCGGGAGCUGCUCUCCUAUUUCCAAGUGACUUUCCUAGGUUGUAAAUCUGACAGCCUCAAUGGUUUUGAAUAUCCCACUUCCCUUAUACGUUCAGGAUGGGGAUCACUCCUGAUUCCAGCUUUUCACAGACUUCUGACAUGCUGAUGAAAAGCUAAGGAGCAGAGAGGCUACAGUGUGGGACAGGUUGAGAGAAACCCGCUUGCAGGCUCCUUGCAACACCCCUGGGUUUUUGCAUAGCCACAGCAGGGUGACUGAUCUACCCUCUUCAUCCCUGAGUGUCUUUGGUCCUUUCUGUUGCUGUAAGCAGUGAUGGAAACAAGUUCAGAGAGGGUGUGCAUACACCAGCUUAUUCUUUUAAACCCUCCCCUGGCAUCUGGGGGCUUUUUGGCACUGUUUGGGACAGGAUAGUAGGCUGUAUGGUUUGACACAGCAACAGCAAUUCUUAUGUCCGGUGAGUUUGUUUGAUUUGGAAUAAGGUAAAACCUUCAUAGUUUGAGUGGGAACAUCAGAACCCAUCUAAGAGGCUACUCAAAAGAACAGCCUGCUGAGGCAUAUUUGACAGAGAGAGCGUGACUCAGUUGGGUAGGAUGCAGAGCACUGAAGAGGACAAAAGGGGUGACCACAUCACUCCGGCACCACCCCCACCCCCUGCCACUACUUUGCAAACUCCUCUGUCAGCAACACCAAACCCAAAUUUUUUACUAUUGCCUCUAAGGCCUUUUGUGGCCUCUUUUUAUGCAGUCCAGAUGUCUUCAUUUCACGAAGGACAACAGUCACAUUGACUAGAUGUUCUUCAUACUCUGUACCGUGCAGCAAAGGAGCCUCUCCAUUUAAAACACCAUGACAUCACCUUCAAGGUCAUCCUAUAAAUUCCUUCCUAAAAUUCUUCUGUCAUAAGUUCUGGGGAAAACUCUGUGAGCAUUAGACCGAUGUUGCGCGCUACACACGCUGCCAAGCAUGUCACUCAGCUCUGACCCACUACUUCGAGCAUGGCUGAUCUGUGAGGUAGCACCUCUGUUGUCUUAUCGGGCAGGGUUGCUGGCACACGGCCCACCUUUCUCUUCUAUGUAUGUACAGUGGUACCCAAUACAAAACCGGGGCUCUGAGCAGAGAUGCAGGUAAGAAGCAAGUUGGUUAGAGCAAAAUGAAAAAUGAGCAUCGGUCCUUUUCAUGUCAAAAAGCUCUUGAAGCUUUGUUAAUACAAUUUCAGUAUUAUUCUUUAUGGAACAAUCCUGCUUAACCAAGAUGACCCACCGGACUUUUCCCAUCUCUAAUUUUAAUGUGGCUUUAUAAAAUGGAUACGUUUGGCAUGUCAUCUGGAAACAUUAACCAGGGAGGUUAAAGGGGUGAGGCUCUUGGGUUUAAAGCAUUCAUUUAGUAGGUAGAGAAAUGAAUUGGCUAAGUGCUAGCACAUUUGUCAUAGGGCUAUUAUACCUGAUUUUUUUCUGGGCUGGUUAUAAGCUAUUGGUUAAUGGGGUGGAAUUAGAUUUGUACAGAACUCUGUGCAGAUAAUUUUCUUGGAAAACAUUUUGAAGAGCCUGCCUGUCCAGAAUAUGAGCUGUGAUGUUCCUCUGCUCUCUGAUUGAUUGCUCCUUAAACAGCAGGACUGUGGCUGCAAGUGGUAGCCUGUGGCUCCUCCAUUAAAGUUUCUGCACUAGCACAAGAAAGCUGCAAUAAAAAGGCAUGACACAUUAAUGUAGAAGCAGGCUCAAAGCCCUCAGAUCUGAGCAUCACAGGACAUUAAGGAAACCUAACAUUUGAUCUAGAGCAGGGCUGCUUGGCCAGAGGAACCUCAGGUCCAAAAUCAUCAUAUCUUCAAAUUAUGGGUGCAGGCUCUUUAACUUGAGCUCAUCUGUCCUCGUGAGAUGAAUCCAAAUAAAGCAUAACACUCAGGAAACUCCCUUGCUACAGGAUGUCAGAGAAAUGUAGGGUAAUCUCAAACAAUACAAAUACUAGGUAAUAUAAAACCUGGGUGGAGAAAAAACUUCCUAUCAAAUAUGCCAAAAGCUGUUCUGCACCAGUCACAGCAGAAGAAGCAGGGAGAUUCCCCAUUUUCCCUAUAUUUUCCCAUGAAUAUUUUCCUCUGAAAAGCUCCCUGCCUUGCCCAUAUUCUAACAUCUCACUCAGUCAGGCUGAGGAAGGUACAUAAGGAAAGGUCUGGGAUGUUCCAGGGUUAUGAAGCAUUUAAUCUCCAGGACACUGUUAUCUGAAAUUGGUUGAGACGCUUUGGACAGAAAUAGGUCCCAUCCUAACAGACAGUAAAGGGAACGUAUGAUAUCUUCUUUUUUGCUGAUGAGCAGGAGUCCACAAAAUCAUCACCAAGAAGUUACAGAUGAGCUCUAUUUAGUCCUAUCAGUGAGUCUGAAAGAUGGUUAAACCACAGAAAUGUUCUACAAAAUGUGAGGGGCAACUCCCUACAGGCUUGGGAGAAAUUAUUCACCCAUAGCAAGGUCAUGGGGAGGGUGGUGUUAUUCCUUCUGUACAUAUCUCCUUUGCUGUUCCCUUUUUUAUCAAACAAAAAUGGCCUUCUCUUUCCACUGUAUAUCUUUGUCCUUACGUACGUUCCUUACCAAACUCUUCAUAUCAUGCUGUUUUGCCCUUUUUCCCUCACUUGUUAUACUUCCCUCAGCAAACAGAGUCUCAUGAUGCGCCCUGUGGCUGGAAGGAGCUCCCCCAGCAUAACCCUGGAUCUCACUUGCUGUUCUAUGUUGAAAUACUUCUCAGGAAGCCCAAACGCUUAAAAAAAGUUGGCAGCCCGUAGGCUGACGUGCUGCUCUCAUGUUCGCUUGUCUGGUAGCUUCUGCUUUUAUCCCCCAGCCAGCCUGUGCUCAUUUUUCCUGCCUUGGAGGCUUUGGGAACGUGUUGGCCAUUUUGCUCUCUGUCUCAGCUAGCGUGAGAGUUAGGCACUCCGAUUGGUACCCCUGUAUUUUAUGAACAUAAUGUUAAUGCUGGGAAUAGUGAGCUGCUUUAGGGCCGUGGCUUGACAAGUUCAUUCAUGCUGAACUGGAAGUGGACCAGGGCUCAAAAUAGCCUGUGAAUGCCUGGCCAGGGGAGGCUGAGACAACAGGCACCCGGCUUCCCAGCAGGUCCUCAUCUAUGUCGCACGCAGCUACUGUUGGAGGUCAGGGCCUAUUUACUGGAACAUGAUGUGACUGCAUCGCUUCUGUUAAAAUACAAAUAAAGAACAGUGUCAUCCCAGUGACACUGAGAACGGUCCUUUUAAUGAGGUGCAUAAAUAACAGACUGUCUCACUGAAAACCCGUAACGGUGUCAGUACAAAACAGGGGAUAAUAAGAAGGACAUGCCCCCAGCUACCCUAUUAGAUAUAUUUGCUCUCUCUAGGUUUUGUCUCAAAGUCCCCACCACUUCCUGGGGGUCUGCAGAAUGCAAGUAUUCAGGUUUGAAACUGAUACAGAAUCAUGGAAAUGUUGGCUGGAAGUCCCCUCUGCAGGUCUCCUGGUGAAAAAAAUUUUCCCUAAAGCCCAGCCUGGGCCCCCCAAACAGCGAACUGUCACCACCACCUAUUGUAUUGCCCGCUACGGCUGAGAACUUUUUGUCUCUGCCGCCUCUGUAUCUCCCCAGUGGGGGUGGCAGGCCACGACUAGCCCACCUCCCAGGCACCCCUCCCCGGCCUAAGCAAGCCCAGCUCCCUCCACCUCCCCGCAGGGGCAUGUCCUGUGGGCCCCUGCACACACAGGCAGCCCCCACUGGGCCCGGCCGGUUUCCCCACAUCCCCCUUGACCUGGGAAGGGGAUCCAAGGCUGGACACAGCAGCCCAGGUGUGGCCUCACCACCACCAAGCGGUCCAGAAUAAAUAAUGUCUCUCUGUGCUGCCUGCCUUCCUCCUACCCAGCAGCUUACAGGCUUUCUGAGUGAGGAGCUGCUGUCAAAAGCCCCUCAUGGGUUCUUUCCCUCCAUGAAGCUUUCCAGUACCUUUUUGUGCCUCUGUAAAGAUUUGCAUCUACAGUCUCCUCUGGCAAGGCAUUUUACAGAUUUCUUGCCAUGUAUGAAGAGCCACAUCCUCCUGCUUGUGGAGAGGUUGCUAAUCGCUAGUUUCAUUUCUUGUUCUCCUACAAGAAAGUGCAAUAAACGCUUGUAUGGUAUUUAUCGUCACCCUGCUCUUCAUGAUUUUAUGGUUCUUUAUAGAAGUGAUAACAAAAGAGAGGACAAGAAUACGUUUCCCUGUGGUAUGUGACUCCCCACACUUCAUUUGAGUGUCAGCUUUAGGGACUCUUUCCCAUCUUCCAUUUUAUUCUCCUUUGUCUUUAUGGCACUCCACCAGUAAACAGCAACUAGGAGUAGCUGAGGCUAUAAACAACCAUUUCCCUGCUCAUUUACCUGUGUUGUUCUGGCAGUUGCUUAACGGUAAACAUAUGAUUCACUGACACAUUUUAGAUAGCAAUGUUCACAAGUUUUAAUUCCUUGCCUUUGGAAGACAGGCUAAUACAAUUUUCCUCUGCAUUCCUCCAGGCCACAGAGCCAAGAAC